UGGAAAUACAAUAUUUUUCCCUGCAGCUAGGUUUACUUUCAUCAAUAUUUUUCCUUCUUGGCUGCUGCAGCCUGUUCGCAAAUGCUACUGAUAUUGUUAGAUUUGAUGAAAACUAUGAAAUUACAUGGGGAAGUGAUCAUGUUUUGUCUUUAAAUCAAGGAAGUGAAAUUCAGCUCUCAAUGGAUAUCUCUUCCGGUUAUCUUCUUUCUCUCCUAACACUCACUUAAUAGCUAUAAAUACAAUAUAAUUUAUGGUACAGAACAUUAUGCAUGCUUUUUUUUUUUUUUACUUUUUUUUUUUUUAAAGAAAAACAGACAUAUAUGUUUCAUUUGACUUAGUUGAAAAUUAUGUCACAUGGUUUAUAACAUCUUAGAGAAUCUUUUAUUUUUCUUAAAAAUCUUAAAUAUCAAUAUUUAUAUGAUACGUUUAUAGAGUACUAAAUUAUUAAUUUCAAUAAUCAAAAUUUAAUUUUUUAAUAACUUUAAAUUAAUAUAUUAAAAAUAUUUAAACCCUAAUCAUUAAUAAGAAUCUAACACUAUAUGAAUAGAUACUAUCAUUGUUAUCACUUAUAAGGGAUUGAUUUAAUCCACUGUUCUAUCUUGAAGUGCGGAAUAUUGAGGUGUUUUAAAAUGUGGUGGAAUUAUUAAAAAAAAAAAAACCAAUUCCAAAUAAAUCUUUAGUGAUAUUCCCCACUAUAUUUACUUCUUCCAUUUUUUUGUCCACUAUUGUUUAUUGAAGAAAUUAAAAUGAUCACUUACAGGAGCUGGGUUGAGUGGUCGAGCUGAGUUAUGUUUAGUGGUUUUUUCAUUUGAGGAUAAACUACCAAUAAGGAUUCUGCUGGAGUUGUUACUGGCUUUUUACGUAAAAAUUAUCUUUUCAUUUCCUGUUUAAUUUCCUCUUGAAGUUACCAAUAUUCUUAUUGAUUAUCUGUAAUGAAAUUAACAGCUGACAUCAAAGGCAAGAGGCAUGACGGCUGGAUUUGAGUUCUUGGGUAAUAGAGAAGGCAAGCCGAUUAGCCUUGCAAACCAAUGUGUUCGCAGAUGGUGUUGGGCAAUAGAGAGCAAAGGUUUUUUCUCUGGUUUGAUCCUACCUGCAGAUUUCCACGAAUUACCAAAUUCUUUGGAACCAACACCAAAUUGUGUACGAAUAAUCUUCCCCUUCCUCCUUUUUCUGCAUUGCAUGCCUUAAUUAAUAUGAUUAUUUUCGCAUCAAUAAUUUUGUGAAAAUAUAUUUUUUUGAAUUUAAAAUUUAACUCAAUUAAUUUACGUACUCAUUUUUAAACAAUGAAAUCCAAUGAAUUUAAUAUUUAAAUAAAAACAUCUAUAAUUUCUUAUUUAUCAUCAAAUUACGCUUAUGACUGACUAUACGAUUAUAUUUAAAAUACAUGUGGUUUUAGUUAAAUGUGAUGAGAACCUCUUUUCACUGCACUGAAUUGCCUAUCAAAAUGGACACUAUAUAUAUAACUAUAUGUAUAGGUAUAUUUAUGCAUAUGGAUGCCUGUGUUUACAGAUUCUACGUGGACGACAUCCCGAUCAGGGUGUUCAAGAACAACGACGAUAUUGGAGUUGGGUACCCAUCACAGCCGAUGAAAAUAGAAGUAAGUUUGUGGGAUGGAGAUAGCUGGGCAACCGAUGGAGGCCGAACAAAGACUAAUUGGAGCAUGGCACCUUUCAAAGCCCAUUUCCAAGGAUUUGAUAUAAGUGGUUGCCCAAUAAUUCAGAACUCGAGCAACAUUCAACAAUGUUAUUCUCCCAAUUAUUGGUGGAAUUCAGAGAAAUAUUGGAAGUUAGACUCCAAGCAACAAGGAGAACUGCAAAAUGUAAGAAAGGAAUACAUGAACUAUGACUAUUGUUCGGAUAGGCCUAGAUACCCUGUUCCUCCUCCGGAGUGCCUUCAUCAAUAGCAGGCUAGAGUUCGUGGGGAUGGGUUAAUUUAAGUUGCUAUAUUAAAUAACAAUGCAGCUGAUGUAAUAAAAGAAAAUUUUAAAUUGUUCCACUUUAUAAAAUUAUUAUAGUUAUUUAUUAAUACUUUUUAAUAAUAAAUAUUUUCCCAUAAGUUAGGAAGUAGAUUAUUGUUACAUAUUCUACCAUGAAUUAGGAUCUAUUAUAGUUAGUAACAGCACAAGGUGACCAUUUCUCUCAUGGAAAACUCAUGCUUGAACUGAUCAAGUUACAAUAAAUUAACACAAAAAUACUUGAUUUUGGUUUUGAUUUGAUUGCUUCUUCUCUUUUACUAUAUUUUUCCCAUAAAACGAAAUUAAACAUAUCGAUGAAGACAAAUGAUAAAAAGUUUAUUACAACUAUCAAACAGUAAUAAAAAUUAAGGCAAUAUAAUAAAAUAAUAAAUUUUUUAAUUUUUAAUUUUUAAAUCGAUUAAUUCAUAUAGUUAUAUAAUAUUUUUGAUAUUCAAAUUCUAAGGUUUGUAAUUUCUUCUUAUACUCUUGUGCUAUCAUGUUACAAUCUCUUUAAAAAAUAAAUAAAUAAAUAAAUUUUCACCGGCCAAUUGCCUAAUUUAUAAAGUUGUCACAUGCUGAUUUGUUUUUAUUAUUCAUAAUCGAACGGGCUUAUAAAGCCCAAUCUACGAUCCAAGAACUCCAUCUGUAAUUGGCCGAAAAAAGAGAAAUUGUAUAAUUAAAAAGAAAAAAGUCUUCACCGAUCAGGUAAUUUUUUUGAAAGCUACGGGGACUGGGUAUUCCCAUGGCGGAUUUUCUAUAUCCAGUAGCAUAUUUUCAGUUUGCUACCCCAGUAAUGGCCCUUCUUCAAAGACCCUUUUUUGUGCUACUUCUUAUACUAACUCAUCAAUUCAUGCAAUGUUGGAUUGCUUUUGGAUCGGUCAAUGAAGAAGGAAAAAAACAAGAAGAAGAAUUCAAUGAGGAGCUACUAUUGAAGCCGUUGCCAGAUCGCAACGUGUUGGCCCAUUUCCAUUUUCGAAGCUCUGCCCCUCUUUCCACCACUUAUUUCCCAAAGCCAUUUCUCAAUUGGUACUUUUUUUAUUAGUUUAUUUUAUUUUUUCUUUUGGGUCACCGAGAAAUCUUACGCUUUUUUUUUUUUUGGUAUUUAUGUUCUUUCAUGUUGCUUUUGUUUAAAUGGAGUUAGAGAAAAGCUAGCUUAGCCAAGUCAGGUGGCUUUCUUCAGUUUCUGAAUCUAUCAGUAACUUAGAAAGGUGGUAGGAAAGCCCAAAACUUAAAUCUUUCCUUUGCUCUUCAUACAUUUAUUAGCAAAAUAUUUAAUCAUUGUGUGGUGUAAAGAGGAUUUUGGGUUUACUUGCUUUUGAUAUGCUUUGGUCUGUAUGUUGAUUUUUUAAGUUUAUCGUAAUGUUUGAAUAAAUAUUAAUAAAAUAAUAAAAAAAUAAUAUAUGUAUAAUUAUUUGGAUAAUUAAAAUUAAAAAAAAAAAUUUUUAUCAAUUAUUAUUUGGAUAAAUAAUAAAAAAAAGAAAAUGAUUCAUUAUAAUAAUUUUUUUAUUUAUAAUUUUUUAUUAUUUGUAAUUUUAAAAUAUUUUUGGAUAAUGAUAUAUUUGUUAUCUUAUUUAGCUUCAAAAUUAUUGUUAUAUCAGUGAUUUUUAAUCAAGUAAAACAUAAAGUUAUUUUACAAACAUGCAUUAAUGAAUUUUUUGAUCAUUAUCAAAACUUUAAUACACUAUUACUUUGACAAUAUAUUCAUAUAAAACUAUUAAAUAUAAAAAAUACAAUCAUAUGAAAACAUUACAUACUAAAGAAUUAUAUGUCCUUUUUGCACCAAACAAAAAGUAAUAAUAUAUUAUCAUAUAGUUGUCUAAUAUAAAUUUAUUUUAUCAAAAAGAGAUGAUUUUGAAAAAAUUAUAAGAAAAUUAUGAUGUGGUUUUGUUUUUUUUACUAAUUUUCUAGUAUUAAUAAAAAAAUAGAUAUAAUAAUCUUUUAAUAAAAAUAAAAUUUUUUUCAAUUUUCAUUUUUUUAGCUUUUUUUUAAAAAUUGAAAUAUUAAAAAAAUGAAGAUUACAAGAAAAAACAAAAGUUAUUGAGUUUUCACAUAUAUAUUUUUUUAAAUUAAAAAUUUAUCCAAACAAAAUUUUUUUUUCUGUUUUCAUUAUUAUUUUUUAUUUCUCUUUCUUUUUCUUUUCCUCUCCUUAAUCGAAUCAUACAGUAAGGAUCAGGUUAAGUAGGGAGUAAGGACUAUGGACUGGAGUUGUCAACUCAGGCUGAGUCAAUUUAAGUAGUUAGUGGACUGCAUCAAGUUACCAAAUAAUCGGGAUUUAAAAUUUUGAUUUAUUAGCUUUUGUUUCAUGAUGAAAAAUAGAUGCAUUAUAAGGUUAAAUCUUAUCAUUAUUGUCUUUGGAGCACUCAGCUUGGCCUGAGUCAAUUAAGGUAGGUCAUACAGGCUCUUUUUUUCUUUAAAGCCUUCUAUUAGCUUAUUUACAUAAAAAAUAUCAUUCAACCUAUCUCUGCAUUUUCCUAAUCAAGUUAUGAUUAGUUCAUUGUUUUCCGCAUUCAUAAAUAUACAUGAGAAUGAAAUGUUCUUAUGAACUCAUCCAACCUUUUCAGCAAUGUUAUGUCUGACAUGAAGUACAAAAUUGGCUACAAGUUUACCUGAAAAAUAUUAUGCACGAAUUGUGUAUGUCUUGCAUUAAUUUGUCUAUCUCUCUUUGUGUAAGGUAAAGAUAAGAGUCUUGAUAAACUUCCCAUUGUAGAUUUUACAAAGCGAGGAUCAGUACCCUUCUUAGGAGAAGAUGAAUAAACAUUCCUGCUCAUAUUUGGAAGAGGAACCUCCCACCGGCAUUGCAUUGGUGUAAUCAGGACAUAGAAUCAACGAACAGUCAAUGAUAAACCAUAAUGAAACAUAUAACCAACGAAUUGCUAUAACCUAAUGGAAAAGUGGUUGAUAUGGAACUGACUUAAAAAUGAGAAACGGGGUAGCCGUCAUGGAAAGCUAAGAUUCAUAAUAGGUUAGGGAAAAAGGAUGCCUUUUAAAUGAUACAGCUGUCUAAUCUUUUAAUGUUUACUGCAGUAUUUUUUAUUUCUACAUUUCGAGUAUUUCACAAACACCUUCUACCCCUCUCUCAUGUACAUACAUCUUAUUCAUCCAAAUCUAUUUGCCAUAUUGCAGAACCGAAUUCUAAUCUUUCCAUAACAUUCUACUUAACUUCCAUCAUUUACUUCAGCGUUUUACAUUACAUGACUGUUAAUAUUAGAAAUAUUCCAAAUAUUUCCUGAUUGUUGAAACCUCAAAAUGACAUCCAAUAUCAACAUAAUUGUUCUUUGGAUUAUUAUCCAAUCCGCUGCUAGUGCAGUGCAAACGCUCCACAAGCAGGAUUGUUUGAUGCAAUGCUUCCGUUUAACAAAAUGGACAUAGAAUUAGGAAGUUAACCUAACCGCUAAGUAAGGCAUGAAAAUUGAACAACCCCUUGAAGAGCUUUUGUGUUCUAAUAUUGUUGUAUAAGAUAAUGAUGUAUAUUCUUUUAUGACUAAGUCCUAAAGGAUGAUAGGAAAAGAAUAACGAAGAAAAGUUUGAAUACAAAGUCUUGACAACUAAUGCAGAUGUCUUACACUUCCAAAGAUCCAUUUCCCAGUAAGACAGCCAGAUAGCCCAUCCGUUGGUUGCAUUUAGAAUCAUUUAUAUCAUAAGGCUUCCAUUUUACAUCCCAAGCAACUUUUCCAUUGUGAGCUAGAAAGAGGACAGCUCUUGGCAGUGCAAUGUCACCUGGAAUAGAAGAACCGGGGCUGAACUCGAACGAAUUACUAUCUAAAAGAUUAUUCGGCACAGUAGCAUCCUGCCAGAGUUGUAACAAAUUUGUUGGUUUAUUGUCAAUGAAGAUUCUGUUUCUUCAUUUUGAGUCAAUAAUGGGAGGCAUUUACCAUCACUAAUAGUUUUUUGCUCGUGCCUUACUUUUCAAUUUUCUACUUUCCACAGAUGUAUUAGGGGCUGCAUCAGAUGAAAAUGCUGCCUCUUUGUCACCUUUUUGUUUUUUAUGAUGAUUCUUAUCUGAAACAUUUUCUUGCGUAUUUCCAGGAGCGUUGUCUAUUGCAACUGGCUCAAAGGAACCUUCUGGGUACUGAACAGGAAGAGGUUGGAAAGGCUCGUCAUUCUAAUUGCUGUUAGGAGAUUCACCAAUUGAUUUGUUUGUAGGUCUACCUGUUGGCCUCUUAACCUGAUCUAGUUGAGAUUCAACUAUUGGUUUCUUUCCAGGUCUUCCUCUAGGCCUCUUUGACGAGCUCUCCCCCAUGGCCUUUGUAUUUUGAGAUCUCCGUUUUGGCUUUUUCUUUAACAGAGGAGCUUCUUCCUCAUUCACCCCAACAUUUAGCAUACACCAUAUUUGAAUGAUGCCUCUACCAGUAAGUGGGGUGCCCAUCUUGUGAUAAUAAGAUUCAGGAGGAUGAGCAGCGACAGCAAUGAACUGGGAAAAAGAAGGCAAAAAAAGAAAAAGACAAAACAAGGACAGCCUCGCAAGAUUGCAGCAUUAAGAUGGUGAUAAUUAUUAUUAAAAAUCCUACUUAUUAAGCAUGCAGGCAAUAUUUUAAACCACUGUUUCAGAACAAAUCUAGGCUUUUGUCUCUUUCAUUUGAAAUAACCAAGUAGAUAGAGGUUUGGGCUAUAAUGAUAAAUUGAAGGUGGAAUACACGAAAAAAAAAAAAAAAGAAUAAAAGGUUCCCAGAAGUGGGUUAGGGAUUUGGGAGGGGAGAAGUGGGGAAGUACCUCACAUUUGACAGGACUGUUAGGAUUCUCAUGAACUCUAGGACACCAUUAAUCUAAUGCCCAAACAGACCCUCCAACAUACAUCACGAAGUCCUUGCUGCAAGAUGAUUGUACUUUAAUCAUGUCAUUCAAUAAAUGUAUAAAACAUACCAUUUUGCAGCGGUGUUGGCUUCACAAAUAAAAAUAUUUGGGUGCCCAUACACAGAUCUUAAAUAAGAGGAGCAAUAAUAACACCAAGUUCUUAUCUUAUAACAUGUAUAUGCAUCACAGAUCAACAAGAGCAAACACCAUCCAUAACAUGUUGUUCAUAAGAGUUAAAAUUUUUUAAACAAAGGAGGAAUCCUGUAGGAUAGCAGAACUUUUAUGGUCAAGAAUAAAACUAAGACCUUUUCCAAACCCACAGUACACCAUCCUUUUACCACCUAAACCCAAUAACAUUGGAAACUGAAAUUGCUCCAACCAAAAUCCAAUCUAACAUGGAUUCUGGAGAUGCAUUACUUACUCGUAGUCCUUCCUGCUGCUUCCAUAAGAAAAAAAGAAAGAAAAAAAAGAAAAAAAAAACAACAAUGAGUAUUAACAGAAUAUUAUGCUAUAACAAGUAAAAACUAUUCCAGAAGAUUUAUGCAGUCAUUGAACAUUCCUCCAUGUGAGGGACCCAAAAUAAAAAGAUUUUCUUUCACCUUGGGAACAGUUGCUGAUGAAAACUGAGGCAAGUUUAUGCCACCAGAAACAUCUUUACCCGGUGAGUCUCCUAGUUCGCUAGCAAACCCAAUGAUCCUCGGUUCAUAAUUAAAAUGCCUCCAUUCCCUAAAAGCAUGUUUAAUAGUAAAUUAAGAACUUGUACAUGUCUAUAUUGGACAGAUAAAACUAACAUAAAAAAAAAAAAAUACCCGACGUACAUCAGCAAAGUCAAUUCAAUCGCAUUUGGAAGUUCUAAAUGCACAAAGAUGAGCAUAAAGUUACCUUAAGAAAGUGAUUGAAGAAGAGAAUCUCCGGAUAUCAGUUUCAUCGAGACCAUCAAUCUUGGGUUCUUCACAAAUCUAGAGAUUGUAUCCAUUACCCUAAAAUGUUUCUCGAUUGAAUAACCAAAUAUAGAGAACCUAACUCCAGAAUCACCAUUAAAUGGUGGUUCUUCCAUUUUUCUGUUUCUUUUUUCCUACAUGUAACACAUCUGUUCGUCAAUCACUCAAAUAUGAGACAUAUAAUGCUAGAGAAGUUUUUUUUUUUCUGUUAGUAGGAGAACAAACGUCCGUAUAAAGGAAAGAAAGACAGCGGAAUUAGAACCUACGUCCAUAAGUCUUUUUUAAAAUCUCUUAAUCAUUACAUCAAAAGAAAAGACAUAUAAUGUUAGAGAGUUGAUUAUAAGAAAUAAAACGUAAACUAUAACUGAAUGCUAAAUUUGAUACUUUAACUUAAAAAAAAAUUCAAUUCAAAAAAUUGUUGGAGCCUAACUCUGAGUUGCAAUCAACAAUAUAACUUAAUUUAAACAAAAUAAAUGUAAUAUGGAACAUCACAUUUAAUAAUAAUUACGACGCAUUAACUUGAAAUUCUUUCUAAACCUUUUUCAUCAGUAAACUUAAGUUUUUCCCUCUUAACCAAAAACAACAAAAAAUAAAAUAAAAUAAAAUCCAUGAAUUUCACAUAUUUUUCCUCUCAAAAUUUCGUGACCCAAACAUACCAGUAGGCAACGAUAAUUAGCUCAGAUGACCUGAUUUUAUUUCAAAGCAGACAGAUAAUAUAUGUGCCUCUAAAUGAUGAAAAUUAAAGGUAUUAUAUUUAAAGACAAAUAUGAUUUAUGCCUUAAAUCCAUUAUUUUAAAAAUUAAUAUUUAUGUGUAGCUUAUUCUUUGCCUUUAAUUAUUGGUUUUGUUGUAGUGUAUAAAAAAUAAUGUAUAUUAUAAUUUGAGUUAUAAUCGACUAAGUUUGGGCUUUGAAUGCUAGUCUCAAGUUUCAAUUUACAUUUUAAAAGAACUCGAAGACGUCAAAGGAUAGAGUAUGGGGCAGGUAGAAUAUUUUUCUUUUUUAUUCUCAAAUUUUUAUAUUAUAUUAAUUCUUAUAUCUAUAUUCAAUGAAAAUUUUAAAUUUAUUCACAUUUUUACCUACGAAAAUAUUUAAUUGAUGCAAAUAAUUCUUAUACUCUUAGCUUUUUUAAAAAAUAAAUUUUACCUUUUAAUUUAUUUUAAUUUUUAUCUUACAUAUUCAUAUAAUUUUUUUAUAAAUAUAUUAAUAUAUAUUUAAAAUAAAAUAUAUGUUAAUUUUAAUUAAUCAAAAAUAAAAUUUUAUAUUAUUUAAUAAUAAAUUUAUUUACUAAAUAUAUAGGCAACGGGUACAAAAUAUGUGCUAUAUUACUUGUCUCUAUCCUUGUAUCAAAUAAAAAAUUUUAAAUCAUAUUUAUGCCAUUCUUAAAAUUUAAUACCCAUUUUAAUCCCAUUGGGUAAAAAGUUAGAUUUUCUAUCUGAUAUGGAUAAAAUUAAUAUCCUUAAAUGAGUUUAAUGUUUUACACAAAUCUAUUUAAUGGGUUUAAUAUUUUUGUUUAAACCUUCAAAAAUAUUGAAUGAGCCCUCAAAACUUGAAUGGAUAACUUGACCAUUGGAUAAAUCUAUCAAAAUAUUUAACAUUUUUAUAAAUGUAAAACAAAACAAAAACAAAAAUAAUCGUAAAUAUAAUUUGAGUUUAAAUUUAUAAAUAAUAUGGAUGGUAGUACUUACAAGAGUAAGGAUACAGUUAUAAUGGUGUAAGUUUUACAUUUUUUUUAUAUCAAAAUUAAAUUUAUGUAUUAAAAUAAUAUUUAAUCUCAACCACUUUGAUCUAAUAAUAAAAAAAAAAAUGUAAAACUUAUAUUAACACAAGUGGAUCGCUCAUCUUACCUAUAAUGGUAUACAAUGAAAGACUCUCUCUAAAUUUUUAAUUAUCCACUUGAUAUUUUGCAAAUAAAUUUGUUGAACUUCAAAAUUCCUUCACUGAAUAAGGAAAUAAUCCAAUUGAAUUGCAUUCAAUUUACAUUCAUUGAAUAUGAAUGGUACAACAAAACCAAGUCCUAAUCCCCAUUUCUUAUCGAAUUAACCUAUUUACUUGCCGUCAAAGACUUUUUUUGUAUUAGAAAUUUUCGAAAAGAAGUUGACAAAUUUCACAAGUAAGACAUUAAAAGACAUUAAAUAAAGAUUUAAUUGAAAAAAAUAAAAAUAAAAAAUAGAAAGACAUGAUGAUUUGUUUGGAGUAAGAUGAUGGGUUUAUAGCAUUCAAAAAUUCAGUUUGAUAAUUACUCAUGAUGACGAGUAAAAAAAAUGUUUGGUAGGUUUCUCCUUUAUAUAGUUAUCUUAUAGAAAUGUCAAGUAAUCUGUAAGCUUCCAUAUAAAGUAGGCAGGUUUCUCUUUUAUCUAGUUAUCUUAUAGAAAUGUCAAGUAAUCUGUAAACUUCCAUAUAAAGUAGGUAGGUCUCCCUUUUAUCUAGUUAUCUUAUAGAAAUGUCAAGUAAUCUAUAAACUUGCAUAUAAGGUUUUGAUUGUGAGAUUGAUAUAAUAAAUUCAAAUAAAUAAUAUAAUCAAAAUAUUCUAUUUCUAAAAUGAACCUGCCCUGUUUUAAGAGAAAUGGCCAAUUAAUUGAACUAUAGAAGGCAACCAAAUCGACUUACUCUUUUCCUUUCAUGCAUGAAUCUAAGACUAUUGCUAUCUAUAUAAGAGACUUGUGAUCAGAUCACUAACAUGCAAGUAAAUUAUAACAAUCGCUUUUAUUUUUUUUUUAGUGAAUAUAUGAUAAGAAGUUCAUUAAAACUUCCAAUUAUUUACAAGAAGAAAUACAAAGAUAUGGCUAUGGAAAAGAGGUUUUCUCCUUUUGCAAUUUCUUAUUCAUAUUAUUGUUUCAGACAUAUAUAUAUUUCAUGAUGAUUUUACUGUUGGAUUUUCUUUUUUAGUAGUCAUCAACCUAAUUAAUAAAUAAAUAUGGAAUUGGACAGGUUCUUCUUCGGUCUUCUCAUUGCAGCUAUAGUAAGUGCAAUCAGAGCAGGUGAUGUUAGUUUUGAUAAGAAUUAUCACGUCACAUGGGGAAACUCUCAUGUGACUUCUCUAAACCAAGGAAGAGAAAUUCAUCUUUUAAUGGAUAAUACUUCAGGUUCGAUACAUGAAAACAACUAACUUAUACAUUUGCAUGCAUGUAUAAACGUAUUUAAAAAAGACACGUGCAUAUAUAUAAUCACUCGUAGCUAAACUUUUAAUAUAUGAAAAUGUAAAUUAAAAAACAAAGAAUCACUAAUGGUGGUUAUAUGAAUGCAGGGGCUGGGUUCCAGUCCAAUGUCGGGUAUGCUUCAGGGUUUUUCCAAAUGAAAAUAAAGACACCCAACAAGGAUUCUACUGGAGCUGUUACAACUUUUUAUGUACAUAUAUCUUUUUCUGUACUUUAAAAAAAAAUUCCUGUCUUCUCUAACAUGUAUUAGUUAAAGUAUAAUUUAAUGAACAUUUUGGUGGGUUGAUGGCAUGUAUGCAGUUGACCUCAAAUCCACAAAACACAGGAAACCAUGACGAGCUAGAUUUUGAGUUUUUGGGUAGCAAGGGUCCUCCUUUUACAUUGCAAACAAAUGUUUUCGCUAAUGAUAGAGGAGGCCGAGAGCAAAGGAUUCAUCUUUGGUUUGAUCCCACUGCUGAUUUUCAUACUUACGGAAUUCUUUGGAAUCAGCAUCAAAUAGUGUAAGCAAAAACUAUUCUCUUUAAACUAAUUUGAUUCUAAUUUAACUAGUUACAACAUUGCUUUGAAGUCCUUGGUUUUAUGUUUUGUGCAGGGUUCAUGCAUGGAAAUUAACAUUUCUAAUUUAAGUCUCUUAAAAAUAAUUUGAUUCUUUAACCCUAGUUUUCUUGCCUUUUCAGGUUUUAUGUGGAUAAUACACCCAUAAGAGUUUUCAAGAACAAUACAAAUAUCGGAGUAAAUUAUCCUUCACAACAAUUAGUGAUUCAAGGAAGCCUAUGGAAUGGAGAAGGUUGGGCAUCGGGUGGAAGAAAAAUUGAUUGGAGUCAAGCUCCAUUUAUAGCCAGUUUUCAAGGGUUCAACGUGGAUGGUUGUCAAUUCCACGACACUGCGACCAAAGCGCAAUGCUAUAAUUCUAACUUGUGGUGGAAUGGAAACAAAUAUUUGGAACUAGACCCUGCUCAGCACAAAGCAUUACAGUAUGCAAGAACCAAGUACAUGUUUCAAGACUACUGCACUUCUCCAAGUGGGAGGUACCAUAAAGAAUGCGGAAGUAAUAAAUAAAUGAAGAGAUAAAUAUGUAAAAAUUUCUGCUUAGUUGGAUUGUUUUAUAUGCAAUAUAUAGAUAGCAAAUAAAUUAGAAUAUUUUCAUUAAAAAAUUAUAAACAUUGGUAUUCUUAUCCUUGUACAAAAAUGGAAAUUAUCAUGUUUAUGCCCUUUAAAAAAAAAACAAAAUAAUAAAUAAACCAAACAAAUGUCAAAUUUGUUGGGUAUUUCAAUUUCAAAGUCAAUCCCAAAGUUGCUUUUCCAAUCACAAAUGAGAAUGACGUCAAGCCCAUCCUUCUGGGCCCACAAUGCGGUGCUAUAAAGGCACUUUCACGGAGUUGGGUAUCUUCUCCAUGAUGGUUGGAUCCGACAAGCCACAAUUUAUGAACUUUGUUAGAAGGAAAGGGUCGUUCAAUAAAUUGGUAAGUGAGGUAAACGAUCAAUUCAAAGCCUAUCCAAUAAAAGAUUUUAUAUUUCGUUCAAAAAAAUUUAUAAAAAUACUUAGAGCACCAAAACUAAAAAGCGCACAUGAACAUGUGGAGGUUAGAAAAGUUCUUUCUUGCACUGCUGUGCAACAUGUUUGUCUUUGUUUUCCCACGCUUCCAACUUUCUCUUCUGAAGCCCAACCCGUGUUUGUUAUUUUCCAAAGAUGAACCUUUAGGUACUCUCUCUCAGCCUUGCUGUUCCAAUGUAAAAGGAGUCUCCUCCUAUAUAUAAAAUGCUUAUUUGAUUUGGUUUGCGCAACCGUGUCACCCUCAAAAUGAUUUUAUAUUGAUUCGGUUGGCUUUAAUUUGAUGCCAUCGUCAUAGCACAUGGAAAUCGAUUUAUUUGUGUUUAGUCAUACAUUUACCAUUCGUGAAGAAUUCAACUUUCUUGGUUGUUUUUUUUAAUUUAAAGCCAAAUUAAUCUUGAGAUUGUUUCUGACGUCUGGAUUAAUUAGGCGCACACAAAUACAAUUUAUUGCGUUUGUUUGUUUCAAGAGUGAUAAAAUAGGUUUAUAUGCACCAAAAAUCAAAAUGUUUUUUUUAUAUACUCAACUUUUAUUCCUAAAGUAAAUAAUUGGUAAACAUGAUUCAAACUUUGAAAAACUGACUUAAUUCAUUAAAUUUAAAAUCGAACCUAAUUUAAUUUGAUUAAAAAAAUCAUCGACAUAAAUCUAUUUAACUCAAUUUUAAAAUAACUCUCAAGUUUAAAUUCAAAGUAACUUAAAAUUGAGAUGAUUUAAACUUAAAAAUAAAUCAAAAUGAUUUAUUUCAAACUCGCUUAAUUACCAUACCUCUUUAGGAUCUUUUGAACUUUGUGACUUCAAACUUGGGGGUUGUUAAUUCUUCAAGUUAAGGAAAAAGAAACAGAUUAAUGUGUUAGUCCUCCACAAUCAUUUGUAGUUUGAAGUUGCUUCCAAUUGUUCAAAGCAGUGCUAGAUAGAAUACGUGUAAGAGGUUUGUUGUAUGCGGAUAACAAUGAAGAAGUCAAUAGCGUGUAAGGAAGUUGGAUCAAAUGGUGAUACCUUAUACUUUUCUUUUCUUUUUUGGCUUUUUUCAUGGAUAGAUCUUAGUUGGGAAGCUGGCAGAUCAAAACAUCGAUCCCUAUAUAAACUCACUAAAUGAUAAUGCAGUCGUUACUAAAGAUAUGGAAAUGCAAUAUUUUUCCCUGCAGCUAUGUUUACUUUCAUCAAUAUUUUUCCUUCUUGGCUGCUGCAGCCUGUUUGCAAACACUACUGAUAUUGUUAGAUUUGAUGAAAACUAUGAAAUUACAUGGGGAAGUGAUCAUGUUUUGUCUUUAAAUCAAGGAAGUGAAAUUCAGCUCUCAAUGGAUAUCUCUUCCGGUUAUCUUCUUUCUCUCCUAACACUCACUU
rnacentral:lncRNA from 1 species